ensembl:lncRNA
UGACAAACUAUUUUGUAGAAUAUUUAUUUUCAAAUCAUUCUAUGUAAAAAUUAAAUAAUUAAUUGACAAAAAAUAAAUAAAUAAAUAUGCCCCCAAAACUGUAGCUGUAAGACUUUACAGCUGUUUUUCUCUUUCUAUAGCCUAACAGAAGGGGGGAAAAACACAGCAACACAACAUACUAAUUCUUGGAACCCAAAGCGAGCAGUAGAUCUUUAUCUGAAACUGUGGUUAGACUCUGCCUCCAGUGCGAAUAUGCUGUUGAAACUGUGGUUUAGACAUACUCACAUGAAACUUCUCUUUUAUCAAGACAUUUUAUUAUUUAAUAUAUUUUUGAAAAAUCAUUUUACAUGCAAAGAUCAGAGCCUCAGUAGUUAAGUCAAAUAGUUAUCAGUUACACAAUUAGAGAAUAUAAAAGUCUUAAACAAUGCAUUACUGUAUUAUAAAAAAAAUUAAAAUUAACUUGCACUUGUCUGCAAAUAAAGCUGAAAAUACACACACCAUAGCAAAGCAAUACGCACAUUAUACAACUGAAUUCAGAAAUGUUUCUAAAAGUUUGCAAUAAAAGUUUUAUGGAUAUUCUUUAUAUUUGAAAUACAUUGCUAAAAAUUUGUAUUUUUCAUUCCAUGUAAUAUUGUAAGUCAGAAUAUACACUACCAGUCAAAAGUUUGGGAUCAGUAAGACUUGUAAUUUUUUAAAAGAAGUCUCUUAUGCUUAUCAAAGCUGCAUUUAUUUGAUCAAAAAUACAGAAAGAAAAAAAAACAGUAAUCUUUCAAAAUGUUAUUACAAUGUAAAAUAAUGGUUUCUAUUUUAAUAUCUCUUAAAAUAGAAUUUAUUUCUGUGAGGCAAAGCUGAAUUUCCAUCAGACAUUACUCCAUUAUAAAGUGUGACAUGAUCCUUAAGACAUCUUUAUUAUAUUAUGAUUUACUAUAAGAAUUAUCAAUGUUGGCUACAGUUGUGCUGUCAAAUAUUUUUUUGGAAACGGCUAUACUUUUUUCAGGAUUCUGUGAUGAAUAAAAAGUUAAAAAGAACAGCAUUUAUUCAAAAUAAAAAAAUUCUAACAAUAUAAAUAUUUGCUAUCACUUCUUUACAAUUUCACAUAUCCUUACUGAAUAAAAGCUUUAAUUUCUAUCAAAAAAAGAAAGAAUAAAAAUGUACAGACUCCAAACUUUUAAAUUGUAGUGUAUAUUGUUAGAAAAGAUUUCUGUUUUAAAUAAAUGCUCUUCUUUUUAACUUUUUAUUCAUCAAGGAAUCCUGAAAAAAAUAUUAAGCAGCACAACAGUUUCCAGCAUUGAUAAUAAAUCGGCAUAUUAGAAUGAUUUCUGAAGGAUCAUGUGACACUGAAGACUGGAGUAAUGAUGCUGAAAAUUCAGUUUUGCAUCACAGAAAUAAAUUAUAUUUUAAUGUAUAUUAAAAUAGAAAAAUUGUAUUUUACAUCAUAAUAAUAUUUCACAAUAUUAAAUGUUUCCUAUAUUUUUGAUCAAAUAAAUGCAGCCUUGAUGAGCAAAGUUACAAUUUUUGAUUAUUCCAAUGAUUUGGCUGAACUGAACUUUUAAAAUAUGAAUGCCUUCACAGUCAUCAAUGCAUUAACUGCGACACAUUUAGCAAGCAGAAUUCUCAGACCUGUCACAAGAAGAUUCAUGGAGUUCAUUUUUGGAUCACCUGAAAAACAAAUAUAUAUAUAUAUAUAUAUAUAUAUAUAUAUAUAUAUAUAUAUAUAUAUAAACAAAUCAAUAAUCCUUUGAUAUUAAAUGAAUUUAAAUCUUGUAAAUCAUAGCAUAAUGUAGAUAAAUUCACAAAUGCAAGAUAUACAUAUAGAAUAUCUUGUGUAUUUUAUUACUAACCAGUGUUUAUGAACUCUAAGGCAUCAGCACUAAGACUAGUUGGACAAGUCUGUUGAGUCACACUUUCGGGGAUUUCUGCAGAAUAAAUAUUAAGAAAAACAAAACAAAUAAUUCUUUAUAUAUACUUUAUAUGUACAAUACUUAAAAAAAGAAAGAAAUAUCGUUAAAAAAAUGUAAAAAGAAACAAUAAUUAUCCAUUUAAGUACAAACCUGUCGUGUCAGCAGUGUCAAGAGUUUUGUCUGCUGUUUGUCCAUCCAUUUCGCAUGUUUGCACUUUAUCAUCUUUACUGAAUCCAGCAUAAUAAUAGGUUUUGGUCGAUUUAAACAAGGGUGCUUCUCUGGUUGUAAGGCUCACAGGGUCAUUACCUUCCACAGUCAAAGUCAUAGUCUUUUCUUCAGGAAAGAACCCGGCGGCCAGACAAAUAUCCCGUCCAUCGCCCUUCAAAGGGGACAAGAUGGACAGAAAUGGAGGAGUUGCCGGUACAUCUUCUGAACAAAGAAAAAGAAGCAGUUUUCAUCAGAAUUUCAAUCCUUUGGUAAGAACGUACUUUCUACACAUGUGGCAGUUGCAAAACUAUGCUCAUGAUGUCAGUGAAAAAGUCUUGCAAUCAUCUAUUCAUGCACAAAACAUCUAUAGUCUUACGAACAAAUGCAAUUACUCUACUAGAAAUGUUUGCUUUUGAGCAACAUCCCAAGUCUACAAACACACUGUGAUCAGAAGCAGAAUGCAACACAGCAGCACAAACAACUAACCAACUGUUUCAAGCUAUUUUGAGGGGUUUUUCACUAUUUUCUACAGCACAUGUGUUGGUGUAAAUGCUUGUACCAGUUAAAAAAAGUACUUACUUGGUACGACCUUGAGGGUUAUCGGCUUUCCGAAUGUUAAGGUGUCAGUAGCUGAAACUGCACCGCUACUGUAACCCUUACAAAAAUGCUCCUGACCCUACAUCAGCAUUAGGACUGACAAACUGACCUAACUGAGCCCUGCCAACUACAACUAACUGACCAAAGUUCAUGUUUUCACAAAAUCAGGUGUUUGGUUUGGAAAACUGCAUUCUAAUAACAUUGAAAUUGGAUUUACUUACUUGGUUUGACCGUGAGACGGAUAGGAUUCCCAAAAGUUAGUGGAUUGACUCAACGUGGCUCCCACUACACACUGAAAUAUUCUGUGGCAAAAACGGUUCAAUAGAACUUACAUUAAGGAACGAGAUGAUAAGGCAGCUGGUGUGUGUGGUAAGAUGGUC